CCUACGGGGGGCUGCAGUGGGGAAUAUUGGGCAAUGGACGCAAGUCUGACCCAGCGAUGCCGCGUGAAGGAUGGAAGGCCCUCGGGUUGUAAACUUCUUUAGACAGGGAAGAAAGAAAUGACAUUACCUGUAGAAUAAGCCACGGCUAACUACGUGCCAGCAGCCGCGGUAAUACGUAGGUGGCGAGCGUUAUCCGGAAUUACUGGGUGUAAAGGGCGCGUAGGCGGGUAUGCAAGUUGGAUGUGAAAUUCCGGGGCUUAACUCCGGAUUGUCAUCUAAAACUGUGUAUCUUGAGUGUCAGAGGGGAAAGUGGAAUUCCUAGUGGAGUGGUAAAAUGCGUAGAUAUUAGGAGGAACAUCGGUGGCGAAGGCGACUUUCUGGCUGACAACUGACGCUGAGGCGCGAAAGCGUGGGUAGCGAACAGGCUUAGAUACCCCAGUAGUC
rnacentral:rRNA from 1 species